UGUAAGACAAGGAUAAGUGCUUUUUUAAGAUAGGUCCACAUGCAUGGAUUCUUCAGUAGAUUACAUAGGACCACAUAAAUUAGGACCAUGGAAUAUUCUCUUGGACACCAUCGCUCAACGAACUGCAUUCAUAUCCCAUGCUUGCGGGCUCAGCAAUCCUACCAGUGAAAAGAUUCCACGGAAGAAUCGUGCAUUGUUUGGCGGAUCCAAUUCCCAAGC
rnacentral:lncRNA from 1 species